rnacentral:rRNA from 1 species
AGAAGCGAAAGUGACGGUACCUGCAGAAGAAGCGCCGGCUAACUACGUGCCAGCAGCCGCGGUAAUACGUAGGGCGCAAGCGUUGUCCGGAAUUAUUGGGCGUAAAGAGCUCGUAGGCGGCUUGUCACGUCGGGUGUGAAAGCCCAGGGCUUAACCCUGGGUCUGCAUUCGAUACGGGCUAGCUAGAGUGUGGUAGGGGAGAUCGGAAUUCCUGGUGUAGCGGUGAAAUGCGCAGAUAUCAGGAGGAACACCGGUGGCGAAGGCGGAUCUCUGGGCCAUUACUGACGCUGAGGAGCGAAAGCGUGGGGAGCGAACAGGAUUAGAUACCCUGGUAGUCCACGCCGUAAACGGUGGGAACUAGGUGUUGGCGACAUUCCACGUCGUCGGUGCCGCAGCUAACGCAUUAAGUUCCCCGCCUGGGGAGUACGGCCGCAAGGCUAAAACUCAAAGGAAUUGACGGGGGCCCGCACAAGCAGCGGAGCAUGUGGCUUAAUUCGACGCAACGCGAAGAACCUUACCAAGGCUUGACAUACACCGGAAACGUCUGGAGACAGGCGCCCCCUUGUGGUCGGUGUACAGGUGGUGCAUGGCU